CAUACUAUGUGCAUCUUAUAUCCUGUUUAAGGAAGAUUGUAAUCGCUUUGUUUUUUCCUUUAGGGCUUACACAACAUGAAUGAGCUUCUUGAAUUUCUUAAGAUUGCCAGUAAGCUACAUUGAAAGUUAUUAAAGAAGACUCCUUCAGUUUAAGGGAGAGACUCCUAUAAUUUCUAAUAUUUAAUUUGCUUUUUUAUAUAUAUUUUUUGUAAAUCUACUAUGACAGUUUACAUCUAAGUCUUUUUAUAAAUUUUUUAAAAUCGAUACUUCAAUAUAUGGUCUGAAUAAAAAGAAAAUUAAAAUA
rnacentral:lncRNA from 1 species